rnacentral:rRNA from 1 species
CAGUCGAACGGACUUAACUCAUUCUUUUAGAUUGAGAGCGGUUAGUGGCGGACUGGUGAGUAACACGUAAGCAACCUGCCUAUCAGAGGGGAAUAACAGUGAGAAAUCAUUGCUAAUACCGCAUAAGCUAGUAGUAUCGCAUGAUAUAGCUAGAAAAGGAGCAAUCCGCUGAUAGAUGGGCUUGCGUCUGAUUAGCUAGUUGGUGGGGUAACGGCCUACCAAGGCGACGAUCAGUAGCCGGACUGAGAGGUUGAACGGCCACAUUGGGACUGAGAUACGGCCCAGACUCCUACGGGAGGCAGCAGUCGGGAAUAUUGCGCAAUGGAGGAAACUCUGACGCAGUGACGCCGCGUAUAGGAAGAAGGUUUUCGGAUUGUAAACUAUUGUCGUGAGGGAAGAAAUUGACAGUACCUCAGGAGGAAGCUCCGGCUAACUAUGUGCCAGCAGCCGCGGUAAUACAUAGGGAGCAAGCGUUAUCCGGAUUUAUUGGGUGUAAAGGGUGCGUAGACGGGAAAUUAAGUUAGUUGUGAAAUCCCUCGGCUUAACUGAGGAACUGCAACUAAAACUGAUUUUCUUGAGUACUGGAGAGGAAAGUGGAAUUCCUAGUGUAGCGGUGAAAUGCGUAGAUAUUAGGAGGAACACCAGUGGCGAAGGCGACUUUCUGGACAGUAACUGACGUUGAGGCACGAAAGUGUGGGGAGCAAACAGGAUUAGAUACCCUGGUAG